rnacentral:tRNA from 1 species
GGGGAUAUACCAAGUGGUAGAGCACAUGCUUAGUAUGCAUGAGGUCCUGAGUUCAAUCCCCAGUACCUCCA